GAUGAACGCUGGCGGCGUGCCUAAUACAUGCAAGUCGAGCGAAGCGGGGACGGGUGAGUAACACGUGGAUAACCUACUAUAAGACUGGGAUAACUUCGGGAAACCGGAGCUAAACCGGAUCCUUAUAGAUUGAUCACCGCUUCAUUAGCUAGUUGGUAAGGUAACUGCUUACCAAGGCAACGAUGCAUAGCCGACCUGAUAGGGGGAUAGGCGACACUGGAACGGAGACACGGUCCAGACUCCUACGGGAGGCAGCAGUAGGGAAUCUUCCGCAAUGGGCGAAAGCCUGACGGAGCAACGCCGCGUGAGUGAUGAAGGUCGUCGGAUCGUAAAACUCUGUUAUUAGGGAAGCGGUACCUAAUCAGAAAGCCACGGCUAACUACGUGCCAGCAGCCGCGGUAAUUC
rnacentral:rRNA from 1 species